rnacentral:misc_RNA from 1 species
GAUGAAGAACGUAGCGAAAUGCGAUACGUAGUGUGAAUUGCAGAAAUACGUGAACCAUCGAAUCUUUGAACGCAUAUUGCGCCCGCGUCUUCGGACAAGGGCAUGUUUGCCUCAGCGUCGGGUUAAUACUCGCAAUCCAAACCCCUGUGGUUUGCAAAUUGCGGACCUGGCCGUCCCGCUCGAUUUAAUUCGGUCGGGUCGGCUGAAGAACAGAGGUUGACGCAUGGACCCGAUAUGGGCCUCAACUGGGUAGGCAAUUCGUUGCUAAAUGCUUUAGUUGAUGGCUUGUGGACCGUGCAAUGUCGGCCCUAACCAGGAACAGAGCCAUUGUGCUCUGAACUAACCCCAUUUUCUCGACCUGAGCUCAAGCAAGAACACCCGCUGAACUUAAGCAUAUCAAUAAGCGGAGGA